rnacentral:rRNA from 1 species
UGGCGAACGAAAACGGAUUAGUCCAGCGCUUAAUCUCGCAAAAAAGGAAACCUGUUUCCGGACUUUUGCGCGAAAUGUAGCGUUCGGACAGACAUCGUGACGUGUUUUCGGUAUUCGUGCACGUUUUGAAUACGUGACAUUUAACUCAUAGAGGGUGUUAGGCCCGUAAAAUGUCGCGACGAACUGCCGCAGCAGUCUGUCUCAGAGUCGGAUUGCUUGAGAGUGCAAUCUUAAGUUGGUGGUAAACUCCAUCGAAGACUAAAUACGGCCACAAGACCGAUAGCGAACAAGUACCGUGAGGGAAAGUUGAAAAGCACUCUGAAGAGAGAGUCAAAAGUACGUGAAACCGUUUAAGAGUAAACCCGUGUAAGUCGUGUAGUUUUUGACACGUUACCCGUUUUGCCGCCGUCGCCCGAUCUGUGUCCCGUACAUUUUAUGUGUAUAGUCGAAGUGCGGUUAUCGUGUGUUGAAGCGAUUUUACACGGGACCCGUCUUGAAACACGGACCAAGGAGUCUAACAAGUGCGCGAGUCAAUGGUACUGAAAAUUCCACAAAACCAUAGGCGCAAUGAAGGUGUUGUUCAAGUGAUGAGACUGACUCGUGGAACGCUGCGCGCGUGCAUUCAUGCAGUCGAAACGUAUCAAGAGCGUACUUGUUGGGACCCGAAAGAUGGUGAACUAUGCCUGGCCAGGAUGAAGUCAGGAGAAAUUCUGAUGGAAGUCCGUAGCGAUUCUGACGUGCAAAUCGAUCGUCAGAGCUGGGUAUAGGGGCGAAAGACUAAUCGAACCAUCUAGUAGCUGGUUCCUUCCGAAGUUUCCCUCAGGAUAGCUGGCAUGAUUUAAAUGUCGAGUCACAUUCGGUAAAGCGAAUGAUUAGAGGAAUUGGGAACGAAACGUUCUCAACCUAUUCUCAAACUUUAAAUGAGUGAGACGAUCGGCUUGCUUAAAUGCUUAUUGCGCACCUCGUGGAUUAUACGGUAGCGGUGGUGGCGAUUUAUCGUCGUCAUCUCGUUAUCGUGUGCUUAGAUCGAAUAUUGCCAAGUGGGCCAUUUUUGGUAANNNNNNNNNNNNNNNNNNNNNNNNNNNNNNNNNNNNNNNNNNNNNNNNNNNNAACGCUCAUCAGAGACCAUGAAAGGUGUUGGUAACUUAAGACAGCAGGGCGGUGGCCAUGGAAGUCGGAAUCCGCUAAGGAGUGUGUAACAACUCACCUGCCGAAGUUACCAGCCCUGAAAAUGGAUGACGCUAAAGCGUUAUGCUUAUACUUGACCGUUAAUAGCAACAAGUCGCCUCGAUGAUUGUCUGUUGUCGAGCGCGCGCGACUAAAAAGCUUUAACGAGUAGGAAGGUCGUAAUAGUGUGCGUUGAAGGAUUCAGUGUAGACUGGUCUGGAGCCGCUAUUAGUGCAGAUCUUGGUGGUAGUAGCAAAUACUCCAGCGAGGCCCUGGAGGACUGACGUGGAGAAGGGUUUCGUGUGAACAGCAGUUGCACACGAGUCAGUCGAUCCUAAGCCCAAGGAGAAUUCCGAAUUCGAAUGUAUCAGGUGUUGUGUUUUCGUUUCGGUGUCGUGCUCGGACUGCGAUGGCUGUUGGCAAUCUGUUGUCGGCAGACAUUGCGUGCUUCUUGCGCGGCGCGGAAACGACGAAGAUGGCAUCUGAUUCGAUGCGGGAGAAAGGGAAUCCGGUUCAUAUUCCGGAACUCAGAUGCGGAGCCGAUUGAAUUUAAAAAUUACAGGAGCCGAGCCACAUGUUGACCGUUUGGUCAUCGUGUCUAAAUGGCUCCGGCACCUGACGAGGUAACUCAAACGAUCCCGGAGACGUCGUUAAAGAGUCCAGAAAGAGUUAUCUUUUCUAUAUAAGUGUCUAAAGUUUUCGGCUGUCGGUGCGUUUCAUUGUGUGCGCACGCGGUCUGCACGUACGUUGCGUUAACGUCUCUAAAACGUCGUUUACGCUUCGUUUUAGUUGUAGUCUGUGUGUGCGUGCGAAUUGCGUACCGGUCGCGUAGAAAACGAAAAGAAAUCCCUGGAAUCCUUUCAAAGGGAGAUAGGGUUUCUGACACGAAGAGCAUCGCAUUUGUCGCGAUGUCUGGACAUUUUUAGCGACCCUUGAAAAUCCGGGUAAGGGAAACGGUCGUUUCGCACUGAAUCGUACCCAUAUCCGCAGCAGGUCUCCAAGGUGAAGAGCCUCUAGUCGAUAGAAUAAUGUAGGUAAAGGAAGUCGACAAAAUAGAUCCGUAACUUCGGGAUAAGGAUUGGCUCUGAGAAUCGGAGCGUGCCGGGCCGUGUGUUUCACGAUCCGGAGUCUGGUUGAUGUUUCGAUCUGAAACUAAGAUUUUUAAACGUUCUUCAGAGUUCGUUGACGAGUGUGUGUGUGCCGGUCUACGGUGCGUACGCGUGCAUUUCGGUGUGCGUGUACGUGUGCAGUCGGUCGCGUGCACGCGGAAACGGCUUGUUUUAAGGAACGUUUUUAAUAUUCGGUUUCGGAUUAAUGUCAAUCGUCCGAUCAU